rnacentral:rRNA from 1 species
CCUACGGGCGGCUGCAGUCGAGGAUCUUCGGCAAUGGGCGAAAGCCUGACCGAGCGACGCCGCGUGGAGGAUGAAGGCCUUCGGGUUGUAAACUCCUGUCGGAGGGGAAGAAAUUUUGACUAACCCCUCGGAGGAAGCCCGGGCUAAGUUCGUGCCAGCAGCCGCGGUAACACGAACCGGGCAAACGUUAUUCGGAAUUACUGGGCUUAAAGGGUGCGUAGGCUGCACUAUAAGUCGGGUGUGAAAUCCCUCAGCUCAACUGAGGAACUGCGCCCGAUACUGUAGUGCUUGAGGAGGAUAGAGGUGAGCGGAACUAGCAGUGGAGCGGUGAAAUGCGUUGAUAUUGCUGGGAACACCCGUGGCGAAAGCGGCUCACUGGGUCCUUUCUGACGCUGAGGCACGAAAGCUAGGGGAGCGAACGGGAUUAGAUACCCUAGUAGUC